CGUGAAGUCGGAAUCGCUAGUAAUCGCGGAUCAGCAUGCCGCGGUGAAUACGUUCCCGGGCCUUGUACACACCGCCCGUCACACCAUGAGAGUUGGAAAUACCCGAAGCCUGUGAGCUAACUUUUAGAGGCAGCAGUCGAAGGUAGAGCCAAUGAUUGGGGUGAAGUCGUAACAAGGUACC
rnacentral:rRNA from 1 species